AAAGUUGGAACCUGUUUGGCUUAGCUAAACCGGAUUGUAAACUGUAGAAGUGUUUUCCAGACACGCCUGGUAAAAAAGUCCUUUGGAACAGGGCAUCAUAGAGGGUGAGAAUCCCGUCUUUGGCCAGAGCUGUUGUCUUUUGUGAUACAUUUUCAAAGAGUCAGGUUGUUUGGGAAUGCAGCCUAAAUUGGGUGGUAAAUCUCACCUAAAGCUAAAUAUUUGCGAGAGACCGAUAGCGAACAAGUACCGUGAGGGAAAGAUGAAAAGAACUUUGAAAAGAGAGUUAAACAGUAUGUGAAAUUGUUAAAAGGGAACCGUUUGGAGCCAGACUGGCUUGACUGUAAUCAAUCUAGGCUUCGGCCUGGAUGCACUUGCGGUUUAUGCCUGCCAACGACAAUUUUUUUUGAGGGAAAAAACUAUUAGGAAUGUGGCCCCUCUCGGGGGGUGUUAUAGCCUUUUAGAAAAUACCUUGAAUUGGAUUGAGGAACGCAGUGAAUGCCUUUAGGCAAGAUUGCUGGGCGCUUUCGCUAAUAAAUGCUAGAAUUUCUGCUUCGGGUGGUGCUAGUGUUUAAAGGAGAAACUCGUCUGGUAUAUUU
rnacentral:rRNA from 1 species